CUGAAACCGUGUACGUACAAGCAGUAGGAGCACCUUCGUGGUGUGACUGCGUACCUUUUGUAUAAUGGGUCAGCGACUUAUAUUCAGUGGCAAGGUUAACCAUCUAGGGGAGCCGUAGGGAAACCGAGUCUUAACUGGGCGUUCAGUCUCUGGAUAUAGACCCGAAACCAGGUGAUCUAGCCAUGGGCAGGUUGAAGGUUGAGUAACAUCAACUGGAGGACCGAACCGACUAAUGUUGAAAAAUUAGCGGAUGACUUGUGGCUAGGGGUGAAAGGCCAAUCAAACCUGGAGAUAGCUGGUUCUCCCCGAAAGCUAUUUAGGUAGCGCCUCGGACGAAUACUACUGGGGGUAGAGCACUGUUAAGGCUAGGGGGUCAUCCCGACUUACCAACCCUUUGCAAACUCCGAAUACCAGUAAGUACUAUCCGGGAGACACACGGCGGGUGCUAACGUCCGUCGUGGAGAGGGAAACAACCCAGACCGCCAGCUAAGGUCCCAAAUUACUACUAAGUGGGAAACGAUGUGGGAAGGCUCAGACAGCCAGGAUGUUGGCUUAGAAGCAGCCAUCAUUUAAAGAAAGCGUAAUAGCUCACUGGUCGAGUCGGCCUGCGCGGAAGAUGUAACGGGGCUAAGUAGUAAACCGAAGCUGCGGCAAUGUGCUUUUGCACAUUGGGUAGGGGAGCGUUCUGUAAGCGGUUGAAGGUGUGUGGUAACGCAUGCUGGACGUAUCAGAAGUGCGAAUGCUGACAUGAGUAACGAUAAAGGGGGUGAAAAACCUCCUCGCCGGAAGACCAAGGGUUCCUGUCCAACGUUAAUCGGGGCAGGGUAAGUCGACCCCUAAGGCGAGGCCGAAAGGCGUAGUCGAUGGGAAACGGGUUAAUAUUCCCGUACUUCUUACAAUUGCGAUGGGGGGACGGAGAAGGCUAGGUGGGCCUGGCGACGGUUGUCCAGGUUCAAGUGCGUAGGCUUAAGAGUUAGGUAAAUCCGGCUCUUUCUAAGGCUGAGACACGACGUCGAGCACCUACGGGUGUGAAGUCAUUGAUGCCAUGCUUCCAGGAAAAGCCUCUAAGCUUCAGAUUGUAAGGAAUCGUACCCCAAACCGACACAGGUGGUCGGGUAGAGAAUACCAAGGCGCUUGAGAGAACUCGGGUGAAGGAACUAGGCAAAAUGGUACCGUAACUUCGGGAGAAGGUACGCUCUCGACGGUGAAGUCCCUCGCGGAUGGAGCUAUUGAGAGUCGCAGAUACCAGGUGGCUGCAACUGUUUAUUAAAAACACAGCACUGUGCAAAAUCGUAAGAUGACGUAUACGGUGUGACGCCUGCCCGGUGCCGGAAGGUUAAUUGAUGGGGUUAGACUUCGGUCGAAGCUCUUGAUCGAAGCCCCGGUAAACGGCGGCCGUAACUAUAACGGUCCUAAGGUAGCGAAAUUCCUUGUCGGGUAAGUUCCGACCUGCACGAAUGGCGUAAUGAUGGCCACGCUGUCUCCACCCGAGACUCAGUGAAAUUGAAAUCGCUGUGAAGAUGCAGUGUACCCGCGGCUAGACGGAAAGACCCCGUGAACCUUUACUACAGCUUGGCACUGAACAUUGACCCUACAUGUGUAGGAUAGGUGGGAGGCUUUGAAGCACGUACGCCAGUAUGUGUGGAGCCGUCCUUGAAAUACCACCCUUGUAGUGUUGAUGUUCUAACGUCGACCCCUUAUCGGGGUUGCGGACAGUGCCUGGUGGGUAGUUUGACUGGGGCGGUCUCCUCCCAAAGAGUAACGGAGGAGCACGAAGGUGGGCUAAUCACGGUUGGACAUCGUGAGGUUAGUGCAAUGGCAUAAGCCCGCUUGACUGCGAGAAUGACAAUUCGAGCAGGUGCGAAAGCAGGUCAUAGUGAUCCGGUGGUUCUGAAUGGAAGGGCCAUCGCUCAACGGAUAAAAGGUACUCCGGGGAUAACAGGCUGAUACCGCCCAAGAGUUCAUAUCGACGGCGGUGUUUGGCACCUCGAUGUCGGCUCAUCACAUCCUGGGGCUGAAGUCGGUCCCAAGGGUAUGGCUGUUCGCCAUUUAAAGUGGUACGCGAGCUGGGUUUAGAACGUCGUGAGACAGUUCGGUCCCUAUCUGCCGUGGGCGUUGGAAGAUUGAAGGGGGCUGCUCCUAGUACGAGAGGACCGGAGUGGACGAACCUCUGGUGUUCGGGUUGUGUCGCCAGACGCAUUGCCCGGUAGCUAAGUUCGGAAUCGAUAACCGCUGAAAGCAUCUAAGCGGGAAGCGAGCCCUGAGAUGAGUCUUCCCUGAUACUUUAAGUAUCCUAAAGGGUUGUCGGAGACUACGACGUUGAUAGGUCAGGUGUGUAAGUGCUGUGAGGCAUUGAGCUAACUGAUACUAAUUGCCCGUGAGGCUUAACCAUACAACACCCAAGGGGUUU
rnacentral:rRNA from 1 species